rnacentral:rRNA from 1 species
GAACUGAAGAGUUUGAUCAUGGCUCAGAUUGAACGCUGGCGGCAGGCCUAACACAUGCAAGUCGAGCGGCAGCACGGGUACUUGUACCUGGUGGCGAGCGGCGGACGGGUGAGUAAUGCCUAGGAAUCUGCCUGGUAGUGGGGGAUAACGCUCGGAAACGGACGCUAAUACCGCAUACGUCCUACGGGAGAAAGCAGGGGACCUUCGGGCCUUGCGCUAUCAGAUGAGCCUAGGUCGGAUUAGCUAGUUGGUGAGGUAAUGGCUCACCAAGGCGGCGAUCCGUAACUGGUCUGAGAGGAUGAUCAGUCACACUGGAACUGAGACACGGUCCAGACUCCUACGGGAGGCAGCAGUG